UUGGAGGGCAAGUCUGGUGCCAGCAGCCGCGGUAAUUCCAGCUCCAAUAGCGUAUAUUAAAGUUGUUGCAGUUAAAAAGCUCGUAGUUGAAUUUCGGGAUCAAUUUAUUGGUCGUGCCAACGGUACGCACUGGUACAAUUGGUUUCUCCCUUCUGACGAAGCAUGAUGUCAUUAAUUUGAUGUCGUGGGGAAUCAGGACUGUUACUUUGAAAAAAUUAGAGUGUUUAAAGCAGGCUUUGGCUUGAAUACAUUAGCAUGGAAUAAUGAAAUAGGACGUUUGAUCUUAUUUCGUUGGUUUCUAAGAUCGACGUAAUGAUUAAUAGGGAUAGUUGGGGGCAUUAGUAUUCAAUUGUCAGAGGUGAGAUUCUUGGAUUUAUUGAAGACUAACUUCUGCGAAAGCAUUUGCCAAGGAUGUUUUCAUUAAUCAAGAACGAAAGUUAGGGGAUCGAAGACGAUCAGAUACCGUCGUAGUCUUAACCAUAAACUAUGCCGACUAGGGAUCGGACGAUGUUAAUUUUUCUUGACUCGUUCGGCGCCUUACGGGAAAC
rnacentral:rRNA from 1 species